CAACAUCGGUUCCCGUACGAUCACCGAAGUUAAGCAACAUCGAAUCUGGUCAGUACCUAGAUGGGUGACUGAUUGGAAAUACCGGGUGCCGUAAG